CCAAAGGCUCUUUUCAGAGCCACUCACAUUGUCAGGAAAGGCUGU
rfam:Pteropus alecto contig104281, whole genome shotgun sequence.